UACGAAGGGGGCUAGCGUUGCUCGGAAUCACUGGGCGUAAAGGGUGCGUAGGCGGGUCUUUAAGUCAGGGGUGAAAUCCUGGAGCUCAACUCCAGAACUGCCUUUGAUACUGAGGAUCUUGAGUUCGGGAGAGGUGAGUGGAACUGCGAGUGUAGAGGUGAAAUUCGUAGAUAUUCGCAAGAACACCAGUGGCGAAGGCGGCUCACUGGCCCGAUACUGACGCUGAUGCGCGAAAGCUAGGGGAGCAAACAGG
rnacentral:rRNA from 1 species